GUCAAGCCUACCUAUCCAUUGGCUUCCUCCAUGUUCAGGCCAACUGGAGGCUCUUGGUGGGGUUAAGCCCUACCUCUCUCAGCAUUUUGGGCCACAUGCUGAUCAAAGAACAGACUACAAAGAUCUUGAUGCCAUGACUGGAGGAGCUUUGUACUCGGUGGAGAGGCCACAAAGCUAAACCCAGCAGGUGACCAGAGGUCUCAGAGCACAGUUGGCUUGGCUGGAGCUUGGAAAGUGCAGCUACACUUGUGAACUAAAGGCUCUCCUGCUGCUUCAGCUUUCGGACAUCCUUAAUAAGAAAAGUAGAAAUGGUUGGGAAGCAAAACAGCAAUGUAUCUUCUGUCAGUGUGCACUUGCUCUCCACUGAAGAGAGUCAGCCAAACCUGGAGUUCAUUCUCUCUUGGCCAGUAGUUAAUAAUGACCCUGCAACAGUUUCUUUCUUUCUUUGCAAAUUAAGAGUGGAUGAAUGGCCUGGAUAAAAUUAAAAAUGUCUACCUGAA